rnacentral:rRNA from 1 species
CUACGGGACGCUGCAGUGAGGAAUCUUCCGCAAUGGGCGAAAGCCUGACGGAGCGACACCGCGUGGAGGACGAAGGCCUUUUGGUUGUAAACUCCUUUUCUGGGGGAAUAAAUGAUGAAGGUACCCCAGGAAUAAGCACCGGCUAACUACGUGCCAGCAGCCGCGGUAAUACGUAGGGUGCAAGCGUUAUCCGGAAUUAUUGGGCGUAAAGCGUUCGUAGGUGGCUUUAAAAGUUCACGGUUAAAUCUGGUCGCUCAACGAUCAAUUCGCUGCGAAAACUAUUUAGCUGGAGGAUGGCAGGGGCAACUGGAAUUACACAUGUAGGGGUAAAAUCCGUUGAUAUGUGGAGGAACACCAAAAGCGAGGGCAGGUUGCUGGGCCAUUCCUGACGCUGAGGAACGAAAGCGUGGGGAGCAAACAGGAUUAGAUACCCGAGUAGUC